UACGAAGGGGGCGAGCGUUGUUCGGAUUUACUGGGCGUAAAGGGCGCGCAGGCGGCUCAUUUUGUCAGGCGUGAAAGCCCCGGGCUUAACCUGGGAAGUGCGUUUGAUACGGAUGGGCUAGAGUUCGGGAGAGGAGAGUGGAAUUCCCAGUGUAGAGGUGAAAUUCGUAGAUAUUGGGAAGAACACCGGUGGCGAAGGCGGCUCUCUGGACCGUAACUGACGCUGAGGCGCGAAAGCGUGGGGAGCAAACAGG
rnacentral:rRNA from 1 species